UUUAUACUAUUAAAUGGUAGACAUAACAGGAAAACAAAAUUUAUGCGGAUUUGUUAAUACCUACCAUAAGCUAUGUUAUCUGCUUAAUUUGUGAUGUAUGAAUUUUACAAUUUCUUCUUCACAAGAAUGGGUUGAAUAUAGUUUAUAUGGCUGUUUUAUAAGACAAUUAUAUAAAGAUAGGAGAUUAUACUAAUUAAACUCUGGAAGUCAAAGAAAAACAGCAUUCAAUGAGUAGCAUCAAUUACAUAUUAAGUGCUGUGAUGGACAAUUCUUGUUAUGUAACUUAGAUAUCACUACAGUCCUGACAUAGUUCUUUUUUCAUAGUAAAGGAAGCUGAAGACCAGAGACCAUGUCUAAAUUGUUCAAAGUCAUCAAAUUACAGUGAAGUAGAAAGUGAACUUGAUCUCAAAUCUUAGUCUCUAUUUCUAAACAAUAGGGCAUAAUAUAGAAGUUUUCUGAGUAUGUGACAGGUCCUGAGCUUAAUGCUGCAGGCUGACAACUAAGCUAUCUUUCCCAAACUGCACUGCUUUGCUGUGGAUUCUUUCUGAAUCUUUAGUUCAACUUCCUGUUAGCAACACAUGGAGCAUGCAAGAGCAUAGAAAAAAGGGAAAUGAACAUGGUCUUGUGCUCCUUUAUCUAAGAUUGCAACAUAAAAACCAGAUUAUAAAUAAAAAAUAAUUCCAAGAGUCCAGUCUGAAAAUCUGUUAAUAUUUUAUAGAUUUGGAGAAUGUGCUAGAAAUCAUAGAGAACCAAGGGUGGAUAUGGGAGGGCAGAGAGUGUUGGAGGGAAAGUAAUUUUUUGGAACGAUUAGUGUUAGACCAACAAAACUUUUAUCUUUGAAUGGCAGGCUCUUCACAAAUUUUCAUCUUGGUGAUUUACUAUAUAAACAUAACCCUUCUGUAGCUGGUACACAGUUUCGAUUGGAAACAUGCCCCUAGUUUAAUGACUGUUCUUAAGAUGAAAGUCUCCUUCUUUGGUGCUAUUGAGCAUGCAAUGCUAUAAACUUCACUGUCUCCACAUGCACCAGGUAUUAGGAAGGGAAGAAUUGAUUUUCAGGGUAAAUAGGCUUUUGAGUUAAUCUUCCUGUAUACAAAUGUAUUAAGCAUGGUCUUUUUGGAGUCAGUAAUUCACUCUUGUGUCCCUGAAGUAAUGGAUUUAGCACUGACAUAGGCAGUUAUUUAUGGCCUUUAGUGAGCUGUUUCUUGUAACUGAUUUCAAGUUAUACAGGUCUAAAUAUGACUUUAAGCCAAGUCUGGGAAUAGCUUUUGUAGCUCUUGCUGUUAGCAUCUUAAGCUGGUGUAAGGUGCCUUUAGAAGGAAAGAAAACCGGCUGAAUCAGUUCAUAUUUCCAGGCCAGCACAGCCAGGAUGCUCCGAUGUGCUCCUUCCCUCUCUGUUUUCUAGUCAGUAAAUCACAGAUGCUUAGCAGUUAUGAAAACAUCUUUAGUGCUCCAUGACACAUGGGAUUUCCUUAAGUGUCCUUUAUACCUGUGUCAGUUUUCAUAUUUAAUGACUGUGUUAAACUCAGUGUUGGGUUCUCCUUGCUUUUCUCUGCUGGGCUACAGGCCAAUUUUCCACUUGCUUAUAGCAAUCCCCUUUUUAAGCUUCUUGAUGUUUUCCGUUGGAAUAAGAGUUUCUCUUUCUGCACACACAGCAGAGAGAGGCUGAUGAAAGAGAUAUCUUACUCUAAGUAUCCUUUGCUGAAUGUUUGUCUAGGGUAUAGUUUUUACAUAUUUAAUUAACUAUGGUCUACUUUAAACUAAUAUUACAUAACUUUAAGUUUUGUGUUAGCAUCUCACAGAGCUAUCUACCAAUUCUUCCUUCUCUUUUUGUGCUGGUAUUAUAAUGUUAUUUAUUUAAAUUUUUUAAAAAUAUCAUUUGUAGUACAAAUGUGCUGUCAAAGAAUUCUUUCAGUAUUAGUGGGCUUGAAAAAAUAAAUCUUGCUUUGCAUUUUUUUUUUUGAAAGGGAUUUACAAUGGAUAGAGAAUUCC
rnacentral:lncRNA from 1 species